rnacentral:rRNA from 1 species
AUUGAACGCUGGCGGCAGGCUUAACACAUGCAAGUCGAACGAGUGGCGGACGGGUGUGUAAUGCCUGGGAAUCUAGCUUAUGGAGGGGGAUAAAUACGGGAAACUGUAGCUAAUACCGCGUACCAUAGGAUGAGCCCAAGUGGGAUGAGGUAGUUGGGGAGGUAAAGGCUCACCAAGCCGACGAUCUCUAGCUGGUCUGGGAGGAUGACCAGCAACACUGGGACUGAGACACGGCCCAGACUCCUCCGUGAGGCAGCAGUGGGGAAUAUUGCGCAAUGGGGGCAACCUGACGCAGCCAUGCCGCGUGAAUGAAGAAGGCCUUCGGGUUGUAAAGUUCUUUCGGUAGCGAGGCGUUAACUACAGAGGAAGCACCGGCUAACUCCGUGCCAGCAGCCGCGGUAAUUC